rnacentral:rRNA from 1 species
GAUGAACGCUGGCGGCGUGCCUAAUACAUGCAAGUCGAGCGAACAGACGAGGAGCUUGCUCCUCUGACGUUAGCGGCGGGCGGGUGAGUAACACGUGGAUAACCUACCUAUAAGACUGGGAUAACUUCGGGAAACCGGAGCUAAUACCGGAUAAUAUAUUGAACCGCAUGGUUCAAUAGUGAAAGACGGUUUUGCUGUCACUUAUAGAUGGAACCGCGCCGCAUUAGCUAGUUGGUAAGGUAACGGCUUACCAAGGCAACGAUGCGUAGCCGACCUGAGAGGGUGAUCGGCCACACUGGAACUGAGACACGGUCCAGACUCCUACGGGAGGCAGCAGUAGGGAAUCUUCCGCAAUGGGCGAAAGCUUGACGGAGCAACGCCGCGUGAGUGAUGAAGGUCUUCGGAUCGUAAAACUCUGUUAUUAGGGAAGAACAAAUGUGUAAGUAACUAUGCACGUCUUGACGGUACCUAAUCAGAAAGCCACGGCUAACUACGUG